rnacentral:rRNA from 1 species
AGCGCCGCGUUGGCCCCGAAAGAUGGUGAACUAUGCCUGGCCAGGACGAAGUCAGGGGAAACCCUGAUGGAGGUCCGUA